rnacentral:misc_RNA from 1 species
GAUGAAGAACGUAGCGAAAUGCGAUAAGUAAUGUGAAUUGCAGAAUUCAGUGAAUCAUCGAAUCUUUGAACGCACAUUGCGCCCGUCAGUAUUCUGGCGGGCAUGCCUGUUCGAGCGUCAUUACGCCCCUCAAGUCCCCUGUGGACUUGGUGUUGGGGAUCGGCGAGGCUGGUUUUCCAGCACAGCCGUCCCUUAAAUUAAUUGGCGGUCUCGCCGUGGCCCUCCUCUGCGCAGUAGUAAAACACUCGCAACAGGAGCCCGGCGCGGUCCACUGCCGUAAAACCCCCCAACUUUUGAUAGUUGACCUCGAAUCAGGUAGGACUACCCGCUGAACUUAAGCAUAUCAAUAAGCGGAGGA